rnacentral:lncRNA from 1 species
AGAGGAAUACAGUUUUGUGAUAUUUGUUUUCGGAAAAUGUUAAUAUUCUUCUAUUGGAAUUGACUUUACUUAUGGUUGGAAUAUUUUCAAUUUCAUUUGGAUUUUUAUAUAUUUCCAAAAGUUUUAGAAAUGUGUGAAACAUGGUUUUAAGAGAUGUAUUUUAAGAAUUGCGGUUAUAAUGACGACGGCCUAGGUGCACCUAGUUAUAUAAUAUCGAGUAGAAAAGGGCUAUCCGUUAGAUGGAGCCGCCCCUAAGUGAAAGGCCACUCUUAGGUGGAAAGGGCUAUCAACGAGAUGGAGCCGUCUCUCGAUUCUCUCAUAACGAAUUGGCUAUCAACGAGCUGUAGACUUCCUAAUUAAAGAUGAGGAUGUGUUUUCGUAAUUGAGGAGAAAAGGGCUAUCCGUUAGAUGGAGCCGCCCCUAAGUGAAAGGCCGCUCUUAGGAGGAAAGGGCUAUCAACGAGAUGGAGCCGUCUCUCGAUUCUAUCGUAA